rnacentral:rRNA from 1 species
GACGAACCACCCAAACGUUAUUCGGAAUUACUGGGUCUUAAAAGGAGUGCGUGAGGCGGCCUUGAAAGUAGGGUGAUGAAAUCCCAGCAGCCUCAACUGUGGAACUGCGCUCUGAAACUACAUGGCUAGAGGGAUAUAGAGGUGAAGCGGAACUGAUGGUGGAGCGGUGAAAUGCGUUGAUAUCAUCAGGAACACCGGAGGCGAAGGCGGCUCACUGGGUAUCUCUGAACGCUGGAGGUACGAAAGCUA